AGAGUACACUAAAUGUGAUAGGUUUUCUGAUGGUGACAAAGUUCUCAUUGAAAAAAGAAGAAGACUUUGGAUGCAACUUGUAGAAAAAAACUUACAUGGAAGAAGUUGCAACUAUUUUGUGUGUUCACAUCACUUUGUCUCAGUAACAUAGAGCCGAACAACAAGGUGAUUCGAAGAAUCAAGCCAAGUCUGCAGCUAGUUACGGCUAUCCCCCGCCAUGGUGCGCACUAGUCGACUAGCCGCACGACUUUUCGCUCUGCUUACACCGAGGAAUCUUAAAAAGGUCUAUAUCGUGGAAAGCGAUCGUGUACCACUAUACGUAUACAUACACAGCAGACAACAGGCCCAAAGAAUCAAAAUUCAAACUUGACACGUGUGGUGAAUUGUUUAUUGACUUCAUAUACAAGUAGUUUUAAGUACAAUGUCUUCCAGGCCAAAUAGAAAAUGCAAAGCCACUAAUCCACCUCUGUCAACAGUGUGUAAAAGUUCAAAGAUAUAAAAUAUCAACAUGGCCGCGCACAUCUAGAUGCUACUUAUAGAAAAGCUGCACCUGUACUUUUACUUAUUGCUUUCCAACUAGAUGAUGCUUAUUGACUAUGCCUCUUGAUCAAGUAGCCGACGGCUACUACA
rnacentral:lncRNA from 1 species